rnacentral:rRNA from 1 species
AUUGAACGCUGGCGGCAGGCCUAACACAUGCAAGUCGAACGAGUGGCGGACGGGUGAGUAAUGCCUGGGAAACUGCCUGAUGGAGGGGGAUAACUACUGGAAACGGUAGCUAAUUCCGCAUACCAUCAGAUUUGCCCAGAUGGGGUUAGCUUGUUGGUGGGGUAACGGCUCACCAAGGCGACGAUCCCUAGCUGGUCUGAGAGGAUGACCGGCCACACUGGAACUGAGACACGGUCCAGACUCCUACGGGAGGGAGCAGUGGGGAAUAUUGCACAAUGGGGGCAAGCCUGAGGCGGCAAUGCCGCGUGGAUGAAGAAGGCCUUGGGGUUGUAAAGUACUUUCAGCGGGGAGGCGUUACCCGCAGAAGAAGCACCGGCUAACUCCGUGCCAGCCGCCGCGGUAAUAC